AUUGAACGCUGGCGGCAGGCCUAACACAUGCAAGUCGAGCGGAUGAAGGGAGCUUGCUCCUGGAUUCAGCGGCGGACGGGUGAGUAAUGCCUAGGAAUCUGCCUGGUAGUGGGGGAUAACGUCCGGAAACGGGCGCUAAUACCGCAUACGUCCUGAGGGAGAAAGUGGGGGAUCUUCGGACCUCUCGCUAUCAGAUGAGCCUAGGUCGGAUUAGCUAGUUGGUGGGGUAAAGGCCUACCAAGGCGACGAUCCGUAACUGGUCUGAGAGGAUGAUCAGUCACACUGGAACUGAGACACGGUCCAGACUCCUACGGGAGGCAGCAGUGGGGAAUAUUGGACAAUGGGCGAAAGCCUGAUCCAGCCAUGCCGCGUGUGUGAAGAAGGUCUUCGGAUUGUAAAGCACUUUAAGUUGGGAGGAAGGGCAGUAAGUUAAUACCUUGCUGUUUUGACGUUACCAACAGAAUAAGCACCGGCUAACUUCGUG
rnacentral:rRNA from 1 species